UCGAUUGCUUUGAGAAACAUAGAUUAAAAAAAAUAAGUAAAAAUGGACCAAUAUCCUUCUGUUUAAAAAAAAAGACACCAAACAAGCCUCUCUGGGAAUGGGAGGGCGGUCAGUCCUUUGGAAACCUCUUCUCCACCCUCAGCUCAUCCAAACUGAGAGGUGGGACUGUGCCGGAUUCUGUCAAAGAUGACUUUUUCCCCCCGACAGAAGCUCGGCUGCAGCGUCACUCGCUACCGUGGGAAGGGGAGAACUGCGUGGUGGUGCAGCUCUGCAGCCCGUGGUGCAUCUGGCGGUGACACGAUGCUAAAAAGGAAGAGAUCUUUCGAUAAAUCCCCGGAUCGUUCCCCUGAGCCGCUGGAGGUGUCCCUGGAGGUGGUUGGGAGAGUCACUGCACUGCUGGGAGGGAACAAAAGGGCUGUUUGCUCUGCCAGCUACAUCCAAGAGCAAGAGAUUCCACCUCAGAUGUUGGAGCCUCCUGGAGCCCCAGUGAACCCCAAGGGAUUCGUCAAUGGUUGCAGUGACCUGGUGGCAGUUCUGGCCGUAGCAUGAAAUGAAUAGUGACAUAAACCGGCCAGAGCCAAAAGAAGGGAAAGCAGAGCCCGUGAACCUCAGCACCGCUCCGCUGCUGCUCUCGGGGCUGGCACAGUGAUUGUGUUUGCUUUGGCAGUCCUUUAGCCAAGCUACCACCAAACACGAUGAAAAUCUUAGCGGGUGGGAAACCGCUCAGGGUUCAGCCACAGUGUGAAAGGCUGAAGACUUUCCCCAUAUCCAGACUGCUGAAGCAUUUAGAAACUUUCCAGAGAAGUCUGCGGAAAAGAGAGCUCGUGUGCAUUUUAUCCGGGCUGCAUCUGAAUCCUUCAUUCUUCUUCGGGCUGCGCAUCAGGAUUCACCAAAGCAUGCUCCAUUGGAAGACAGGGAAUAAGGAUCCUGCACCUCCUGCUGUCCAGGAAGCCUUUUCCUCUACGCAAUACAUUAUGUGCAUCAAAAUUUGGUAGGAUGCCUGCUCAUGGAGAACAGCAGGCAGGAGAUUAAGUGUGAACAGCCAUGGGAAUGACGUACAACACGUGGGACCUUUGUUUCAGAUAUUCUCCUGGGGAGUUUCAGCAGCUAUAUUUUCUGAAAAAAAAUGCCUGAUUCAAGGAUGAAAAUUGUCUUCCAAGUUACAAGGAAGAAGCACAACCCAAUGCUGUCCUUCCUCAAGAAAUCCCCAAGCAACUGCUGAAGUUCCAGGUGUUGCCACGUGUUUUCCUCUCACUGUGGAGCCUCAGCAUCUUCCGUGGCAGCAGAGCCAAAUGAUGACAUCACAUCAAGGAAUAAUACAGAGCUCCUUGAUCGGGAUGCAACUCUGCAGCAGUGUGAUGGAGGGAUGAUAACCAGAUCCACCCUGUUCCUGCUAUUCUGGGCUUACCAGGAUCAGCUUGGAAUAGUGAAAAAACAAGGGGGCUGCAAAAACAGCGUGUGAUUUUUGGUGGAAGGAGUUCAACCGUUUGGCCAAGAGGAUAUACUCGGGGAUUUGGCUGGGACAGCCUAACAUGAAGGCAACAGCAAAAGUUAUAGGUAUAUUCUCUUGAGUCUGGAAUUUUCGUAGUGAGAAGAAGCUGCAAGAGAUGCUCCCUCCCUCUUCGCAUUGCCGCUGAGAAACUGGAGAGGUUCCUUACUGCAAAGGUCAUAAAGACAUUCCUGAGGAGUCAAUUCAGGUAACAUGCUUAAUUUUUUUUUGCUUCAGUUUGGUGUUUUUACAGCUAAAUAUUUCCCCUGACAUAUCUGUCGGCCCAAAAGUCCAUGUGAGCUCCCCCAGGACAGUGUCAAAUGUGGAGCCUCCAGGACUUCCCACGGCUCCUGUCCUGCCCUGGCUCCUGCUUCAGGUCAGCAACAUGCAGAGUUGAACAGAGCCUCCAUCUAACUCUUUUUAGAAGCAUUUAUCACCAGGCUCAGGAGAUGCUGGUCUGGAUGCUGCCAGCUUCGUUACCAUCUCUGACAGCCUCAGGCCUUCGGCUCAUUUGAAGAGUGGCCACUUGGGCAGGUUGUACCUGGAGGUGUCAGUACGCAGCCCUCCAAGUACAGCAGAGAAGUGAUUUAUCAAGGAUGCUUGGACAAACACAAAAAUCACCUCUGUGCACUGCUUCUUCAUCCCUGCUGCAAAGGCAGGACAAGUACUCCCCGGCUACAGAGAGAAGUCAGGCUGGAUGUCUUCAGCUGCUUUGGAAGUACCCACAGGUGUACGGUAGGAUCCUUGAGUUGUUAAUUCUCUGCCUCUCUUGAUGUGAAAACCAGGUGGUUUUUAUUGUGCUUGCCUUCCUGGGGAAGGUGUCUGUGCAAUCCCUCCUGCCCCUUCACUCUUCAAAGACGCAUUUUUAUUUUCAGACAGAAAGCUUGUUAAACACGAAGGUCCAUAUACUGCAGUCUCUAGCACUGGUCCUCACUCACCGCAAGGGUUUGUGUACAUCAAGAGCCAGAGAAACAUCCCAGUUCUACGAACAGCUAUAUUUUUGAUUCCUCCUCAAGGGCUUCUCUUCUAUUCAGCCAUCUCCUCCCCCCUCCGUGGCUGUGCCCCUUGCUGAAAGCCCCGCAGCCCUGCCUGACCUGCAGCGUGGCUCCUCCAGCACUGCAGAGCUAAGCAGCAACCUAAGCUCUCUUUAUUUACCCCUCGUCCCUCCUCGUUUUGCUAAGCUGGUCAUUGAAUUUGUAAUUGAUAAAUUGAGGCUAUCUCCUUUCUUCCCUUUCCAUCUGUACCCUUUCCUUCCCUCAAGGCCCGCGGUACUGUUCCUGCAUCCCUGUUCACAGCAGUUGCUCUGCUCCUACUGCUCAUCUCUGCAUUCCGUUUCUCUGCAUUUCUGAAACGGAGUUUCGAGAGGAAUCGCGUAAAUCCAGAGAAACACCAGCACGAAUCAGACCCAUUAGCUCCCCGAGGUUUCGUUCUUUUCUUUGACUUCUCUUUAAAUAUAUUCGGUGCCAAGUGACACGGUGAGACAGAUUUAAAAAGUCAGUAUCAACCCCUCCCGGCCAAAGCCCUGGUGCAGCGUAUGAAUUACCUACACACAGGCUCCCGUCUGCCCCUCUGCUCCGUGCUGCUGACAAUUAUAAGUCUGCCAGGAGUGAAAGCAAGGCAGGGACUUGGCCUUGACCCUGUUACAAAAGUCUUAAUACAAAAACUCAUGUUAUUGUCCUGGGUGGGCUCCAAGCACUGGGCAAUCAGCAGGAACUGCUGGCAGAAGAUGGAUGGUGGCUCGCAGCCUUUGGAGAAUUACAUUAGAUAUUGCUUUGUUUUUGAGCUUCAAGAAAGCAAGAGAACAGCCCAACUUCUGGUUUUGCAGUGAAAGAUAUUGGAAGCUUCUGGCAGCGGCGCCAAGAUGUUUCUAAAUUGACUCUUCCCCCCUCUGCCUUUUAUGUCUCGUGAGAAAUAAAUUGCUAUAGAAUCAUAGAAUCACCAGGUUGGAAAGGACCCACCAGAUCGAGUCCAAUAGUAAUAAUAACAAUAACAAUAAUAAUAAUAAAAUAAAUAUAAUAAUAAUCAUCAUCCUUAAUAAUAUAAUUUGUAUGUGAAUUAACAUACAGCGGCUAUAGAGAUCUGAAAGGCCUUUAUGAGGCUUAUUCCAUGUACAACGUGCUAGUAAAUAAUUUAAUUAGUGGGAAACAUUAAUAGUAAGUGUGUGCAAAGAUUAUUAGCUAGGAUCUUGUUGCAGGCUCGAUGACAGCCCUAGGGAGCCCAGCUUGGGCUGGUAUGGGAUGAAGGACCAUAGUGGACAGUGGGUCAGAACUUUCCUUGGAUACUCUGGGUCCUGCUCCUUAAUCUGGUGUCUGGUAUGUCUGACGCAGCUCCAGCUUUCCAAGUUCAAGGUGAAAAGUGAUUUUUAUCGGUCUUUAUAGCAGCAUCCGUGCUCCUUGACAGGGCUGACUUGCAAGGCUGGCCUGAAUGGCCAAUUCACACGGUUUGGUUUGUCCAAGGGUGGCCUGGCCGGGUCAUGGGAUGGUCCGGGUUGAAGGGGAGGGGGACUCUGUGGUUUGGACUGGCUUCAUCGCCUGGUUUUACAGGAACAACUUGCCUGUGACUCACCCAAUGCUGCGGGAGCUCGGGUCCUGCUGGGGCUGCUGAGGGGUUGGGGGGCACUUGGUUCCUUGGGAUCUCCCCCAACUCACAGCCUCACCGAUCCCCUCUUGCCUUGAGGCCGUGCCUGAAUCUGGACACAAAGGGGAUGUCAUGGGGAAGAGAGGAAAGCAGCAAAGCUACUCUUCUGUCAUCCAUUUCAUGCAGAGAUUUUGCUUUCCCCUCUAAAGGACCCCAAAGCCUCAGAAGUCAUAGAGGGAAACAGAACUGUUUGCAGUAUUCAUGACUCUUAGAUAAAUGAGGAAAAAUGGGGGGAGAAAACUGCUCUUGUUUUUGUUUUUUUUUCUUUUUAAAUCUCUGUAUCUGGCUUUAUAUAUAUAAUCCAUCAAGAGGUAUCUCACCAACAACAUUAUUUAAGCUGAAAUAGGAGACUCACUAUUAGUCUUGAAAAUUCAUAAGAUAAACAGAUUUUGACGUUUAAUUUGUUGUAGUCAGCGGAAGAAAAAAUUACUGAGCAAACAUUGAGCAGAAAAUAUUUAAGCAAAGGAGAAAUCGGUGUUCUUUGCAUGAGAUCUUAUACCAGGACCAUAUAUUUUGCAUGUUCUGUUUAUUUUUUUAUUGGGUAAGAUGAAGUGCGCAGUUUGUAUUGUUUGCUUGGGGAAUAAUUUAAACAUAGCUAAGGAUGGAGCAUCUGUCGAACAACUCUUUGGUCAGUAAACAGUACAAGAUAUAUUUUUAUUAAACAAACCCCAACCCUCUCCCUUUACAUCCCUGCUGCUGAAAACAGUAGGCACAUGAAUUAUCUUCAGCAGAAGGCACUGAGUUUAGCUGUGCGGGAAGAAAUGGUUGCUUUGUUUGAGAGCUACACAUGCAUUUAAAUGAUUUGCACUGAGGAAAAAAAAAAGAAAUUAGGGGCAGAGCUGAAGCAGCUUAGCUCCAGGAAAAUGGUAAUGGAUGUCAAAUAAGUGAAUGCCUGAGGUACCAUCCUCCAAAAGAAAGCAAAAGUGGCAUUGGGUUGGUGGAUAACAGGUUUUCCAUACCCUGGGCCCACCGUUUCACCGAGCUGAUGUUGGCAAACCAGUGAUGUUGAUACAGAAAGGGCUGAUGCGUCUCCGUGGGAGUGGUGCCAUGCACUGCUGUCUGCUGAAAGCCAUGAAUGGUUAAUGCAAACAGAGGCAAUGCAGAACCAGGUAUUCCCUGAGGGGGACACAUGGAAAAAGCUCGGGAAACACAAGGUAGUAUAAAAGGGCAGUUUUGAGCCUUUGGGACUUUGUCCCCUGCGACUGACAGUGCUCAGACCUACCUUCACCUGCCCUGGCCUCCAGCACGGCUCCUUCUUGUGCCAGUAAACACGCUGGCCUCAAUAUCUGUGAUAAAUCAAAUAUUGUGCUUAUCAUUUUGAAAACCUCUUCUUCAAAAUCUGCUAAUUGUUGAGAAACCAUUAAAAAAAUAGCUAAGUCUGGUAGAGGUGAACACACUGCUUCUGUAUAUAUUUAUAUUUAAUUCUAAUAGCUUCUGUUAGAAAACCACACUCAUGAGUGUUAUUCAAGUGAAUGCAUGGCAUAGCCCGUGGAGAAGUUUUGCCUGUCUUUCCAUGUUUUGUUCUCCUUCCCUCCACUGAUUCACCUGCAGCUCUCACCUACUUCUGGCCUGCAGUGAUGAGACCCCAGGGUGAGCUGGGGCUACCGGGCAAAUAAUAAAUGUAACAAGAAGACAUAGUCAAAAGAUAUUUAAACAUACAGCAGAGCUAUUUUGGUUAUUUCUAACAAUACGUGUGGAAAUCUCAAGUUUGGGUACCAAUUAAUUAAUUAUGCUCUUCAUUUGGUCUAAUGGGAAUCAUGGUACAAACAAGGGAGAUGAGGCUGGGACUGAGCAGUCUUUGUUGGGAACCAAAUACGGAACAGCAGAUGCUAGAGAUUUUGCUGAGAGAUCGGAUUCAAUUAACUCUCCUGCGUUGUGAGUGCUGUAAAUGUGGGAGCUGGGUGGGCCAGACUGAAAAAAGAGAGGCGGCAGAUGGGACGAGGAGAUGAUUAAUAGAAAUAUAAGCAAGCAGCUUUGUCUUAUCUCCUGCUGUUUGUUUUGAAAUAUGGGGGCUGAAGAUGGAAGAGGCAGGAGGUGAAGGUCAAGAUGACUGAGCAACGUGAGAUAAAACCCAAGAUGACAACCUUGGAACGUGAUGUUGCGAGGAUCAUCUCUGGUUGUGGGGGUAUUCUGCCUCUCUGCAGUUACAUAUCAUGUGUUGGCCUUCAGAAGCACUUCACUGUCCGUGUGGCUUAUAAAGCUGGAAUGCGAGGCAGCAAAAAAAACCUGUAAAAAAUAAAAGAGAGAAGGCAACAAAAAAAGAAAAGAAAAAUAAAAUUUAAAAAGCGAUAAACAGGAAUGUAGUCUCCAACUCCCUGGAGCAGGCUGAGAAAGAGGGACAGGAAAAGAGGAGUUGCAGCAGAAAAGCGUUUAACAGACAUCCAGACAGGCAUAAUGAUAGAGACUUUUAAAUUAGUGAGAAACUGUGAGGGCAAGUCUGUGCAAUAAAAAGCUGAGGGUAGGGAACCGCAGGGAUAGUGUGCACUAAAUGACACCAUUUACCACUCUGCUUGUUAUCACUCAUUAUACUACAUUAUGCCGUAAAUCCUAUUACAUGCUGCUUAUGCAAAUCUGGCCUCUGCACCGUCAGGUCCAACGUGCAAAGAGGGGGAAAAAAAACAUUCCCUGCCCCAAGGAGUUUAUGAUGGAGAGUAAGGAGUAUCUCGAUGAAAAAUUACAUCAUCGGUUCUGUGUUGGAGGGUGCAGACGACAGUGACCAGUGGACAGACAGGCUGUUUCUUGGAGUUCACAGCUUUGUAACAAGAGCAUAUUAUAUAUGUAUAAGGUAGAAAAGGCUGCGGGCUGAGUGCAUUGCAAAGACAACCUUGGGAGGUAUAGGUGUUUCUGUUUGUUGAGGUGGAAUGAUUGGUUUUAUUUGUAUAGAGAGGCUGGAGGCUUUAUUUGAUGUUAGAUUUUGGUGGGCUACAAAUCUUCAUCCGUUCUAACUCAGAGACAAAUCCUAUGUGGUUUAGCGGUGCUUGUGGCUUUCAUUUAAAACUUGACAAGCCUCUGUGACCACUUUUGCUUUGACAUCGUGGCUUCUUCCAAGGAAGAACCCGAAAAUUCAGCAGGUGAUAAAUGCCAGAACAGAGAAGGAUUCAGGCAAAGUCUUGUGAUCAAACAGCUCCAUGAAGCCUUGUAUAAUACAUGGGCAGCCUGAGACUUAGGGAGAAGCAGAAGUCAACAUGCAGCGAUGGUCAGGAGGAGACUGCAGUCAGCCCAGCCCACCCGAGGGUUAUCCUCCAGUAGAAAGUCACAGAUUCCUUUAAAGAGGGAAUGGAGAAGGACCCAGUUAAUGUAACAGGGUAAACAGCCAACGUCCCAGGUCUCAGCGAAGAAUACAAGAUGUGCAAGAAACGAGCCCCAAGGAGGUUAAACUGAAUUUAGGAUAAAGAAGAGACUUUUGUUUGCAGCCCUUGGUAGGAGGAAGCUUGAAGGCAUGUAGUUGGUUUAAAGGAAAAAUUGUUUGGAUUAGCUGGCAGGGAGCAUCAUUUGCUAGGCUUUAAUGGGGAUGUAUUUGAUUAUAGCAGGAAAGUAAAUUCUCUGUGAAGGAUUGAUUGCUACCAGGAGCUGGCUCAUAGAUACAGAGGGAUGCAUCCCAAGCCUGAUGUGCCCUUAACUCCCUCAAAUAGCUCUAUAAAGCACAAAAUUGCCCAGAGAUGCCCAAGAUGGAGGAAGUUCUUUCUAAAUUCAUCUGCUGUGGUAAGCGGGGGUUGGGUACUCUCUGCAAGAAUGGCAGAGUGAGAUAUAAAGCUUAACAAAUUUCAGGGUAUAAAUUAAAUGGCACAAAGCCUUGUCAUGCUCCUCCAUGCAUAAAUUUAUGUUUAAUUCAUACACUUAAUUGAACAAAUUCAGGAAUGCGUAGCUGUGCAAGACUAUGCUGCCCUUGCAGGGACUCCUCACUACAAUCUCCUGGAGGAAAAUCUGAGCCUGAGGCUUUACUGUUUGUAUGCUAAAAUAUACACUGGAGUCAGCCACUGAAUGGGUGAGAGAACUGGGUAAAUAUUUCAGGGUAAAAGACUUUGAUUGGAAAUUCAUGCCAGCCCCACAGGGCCUGGCCCAAAGAAAACGCUCACUCAAGAGAUAAAGGCUGAGGCCAGACUAAAACCCUGUGCUUAUUUCAUUCAGAAGGGAAUUGCUCUGACUCAGUUUCCCCAGUUAGUCAGGAUUAAUUGGUUUUAUUUUGAAGAAUGACACUUAUUCUGUAGAACUUGUCCUAAUCCAUUUAUUUCCAUAUAGUCCCCAUCAGCUGGAGAAGUAUUCUCCUUUGUUUCAUUACAUUUGAGAGUAGAGGAGAAUUUUCCUCUCUCAACCGGCAGCUUAACAAUUUUAGCUGGUGAAAAAUACUGUCCGGCAGGGUUAAGUCAUUCCACACAGAUGGCUUUGACUUUGCUAUGACAAUUAUUAAUUUACAUGAAUUUCGAAAUAUGUUUUAUGCUGAUAAAGCUUCUUAAAGCGUUUCCUCUAAAGCUGUAUUAAAGAAAGCGAUGCUUAUACAUAAGUACUUGGGAAUACUUAAUGUGCCAUGGCUUUUGCUAUAAAUAUUCACCAGUUCAUUAUUUUCACUAAAUUUCACAAGUGGGUAGAUAUUGAUUAUUUUACCAGUUACAUGAGAAGAGUCUUGGGUACUUGCAGAUUUGUGUUCUUGAAUAAGGCUGCCACACAAUCUGCUGCUUCAAGCCUGGCCAAGUGGGCAAUCAUUUUCCUAGAUUUCCUACCUUCUGUUUCCUCUUGAGUUUUCGUAUUUUUCCGCUUUAAUGUUAGGAAUUAAUUUGCAGCCUGCAUAAGGCAAUUUACUGACAGGGUUGCCCCAGAACUCUCUCUCCCCCUAACUCCAGAGAGGGGUUUUGAUACCAGGGAAGAACCUUAAACAGUGUGAGGUUUGCAGGGUAAUGUGGCUCCUGGCGGCUGGAGGACGGUUGAACUGCCCCAUAGCAAAUCCCUCUUCUAUGGGAUAAACCAGAUUUAAUGGUUCCACCUGCAUUCUGGAGCAACCUCUCACGCAGUUUGCCCAAAUAGUCCUUGUUUAUUGUUGUCUCUGACUCCUCGCUUAAAACAGAUGAACCGCUGGUCGAGCAUCUGCAGUGAGUUGUGGCUUUGGGGUGUUUGACCACACAGUUACACAUUACUUAAAUAUUCUGAGUGCUAAUUGAUUCCUUGCUAACAGGCCCAAUAAAGCGACUGAAGAGCUGUCACCUUGGCAUCUCUUAGGCACCUUGGAGCAAAUGUAGCACUCUCGGCUGCUAAUGAAACCGCUGUCGGCUGAAGGACGUUGUGCACGCUGCACUGGUGAUGUGCCAUCAGCUGUGGGGCAUUUCUGUUUGCCGCUUUGCUUUCUGUCAUUUUUCACACAGAAAUAAUUUCCAGGGUCUCCUGUUCUGUUAUAAAAGUGUAUAAAGUAAUUUUUCUCUGACAAAAACAGACCCAGUGCAAUGCACUGUUUUCUCACCUCCUCUGGGGUUCACAGACAUCCUGGCUGUGACCUCCAGUUAAGCCUGAAAUUUCAGAGAGGAAUAUUUCCCUUAUUUCUGAAUGUCAGAAGGAAGAUUGUAAUUAGAGACAAACCAAGGUUUAUCACCAUGGGGAAUAUUAUAAGAAAUCAGAGAGUAUCAUUCCUCUAUGAUAAACGACUCUUAGCAAUGAUAAAAUAAUAUUUAAUAGCACCAGAGGUUAUUGGCUGCUGCUGUCGCAGAAGUCUGGAGCUUUGGAGGACUAGAAAAGCUUGAUCUGCGUUUUCACCUUCUUAAGGGAAAAAGAGAAAAAAGUAAAAUGUGUGAUUCGUUAUUUAAAGUAAGAUAGUGGGUAGGACGUGAAGGAGGAUGACUCUCCUACCUUCAAAUGGAAAUAUGUCCAAAGACCCAUCUGGAAUGUCUGAAAGAGCAGGCAGAGCUGAUACAGCUGAGUUGCAGCUUUGUGCACUCAUUUCCACUGCAACACCUUUGCUCUGCUCUGAAAUCACUUUCAUGUAACUGAGCUCCGUUCAGUUUCGGAACUGGGUUGGGCUGAACGGAGGGAAAUUAAUUUUAGUAGGGAGCAGAAGGACUCAAUGCUUGUGGCGUUGAUAAUUCACAUCCUGGAUGUUUUGCCAUGAAUUAUCAGUGGAGACAAGCCCGGGGGAUCUGUCUCUGAUUAUCUGCAUCGGGCAGCUCUGCAUUACCCUAAUGUUGUGCUGACUUCAUCUGGAUUGCUUGUGCAGGUGGAGUGCGUUACCACACAGCCCAGCGCGGCCAAAGGCGGGCGAGCUCAGAUCAGCUCCAGGUGCUUGGUGAAAUCCAGGAAAGUUGCCUAGUCUGGUACGAAACUGCAACAGAGGAGACAGGAAUGGCAGCAUUUGCUCAUGAUGGAUAAGCUCUAAUUUAUUUCUGCUGUAAGAGGUUUUGGAGAGAAGGUUACCCUAUAAAUAACAUUUAAAUUGUAAUUCUGUUAAAUACCAUUCUCCUGUAGGGGAAAAAAAGAAUUGCAGCCUUGUUUCAUUGUUCCAGGUAAUCAGUAACACACCCGCAGGUCCAAUGCUGUGAUUUAAUUUAUACAGUAUGUCUGUAUUUAUGUAUAUGUAUGUAUGCAUAUGUGUGUAUAUAUACACUAUAUAUAUGUUUAUCAGGAGAAAGAUAAUUCACGGAGCAAUGCUUGGUCCAUGUAAGAUCUUCACAGGUCCAUCAGAGCCACAGACAGCCAUCCCCAGUACCUGCUGCAAGGUGGUCCCUGUGCCCAGCCCGGUGGGACAGUCCAUGGCAUCCUCAGGGAUGUGUUGUCAUGUGUCCUCAUGGCAUUUUCUUUUAAGAGGGAUUUCUUCUGGCUUUUAAGGAAUGAAGAGCCGCUCUCUUCUCAAUAAGACACAGGCAAGAAGUGAC